GAUGAACGCUGGCGGCGUGCCUAAUACAUGCAAGUCGAGCGAACGGACGAGAAGCUUGCUUCUCUGAUGUUAGCGGCGGACGGGUGAGUAACACGUGGAUAACCUACCUAUAAGACUGGGAUAACUUCGGGAAACCGGAGCUAAUACCGGAUAAUAUUUUGAACCGCAUGGUUCAAAAGUGAAAGACGGUCUUGCUGUCACUUAUAGAUGGAUCCGCGCUGCAUUAGCUAGUUGGUAAGGUAACGGCUUACCAAGGCAACGAUGCAUAGCCGACCUGAGAGGGGGAUCGGCGACACUGGAACUGAGACACGGUCCAGACUCCUACGGGAGGCAGCAGUAGGGAAUCUUCCGCGAUGGGCGAAAGCCUGACGGAGCAACGCCGCGUGAGUGAUGAAGGUCUUCGGAUCGUAAAAAUCUGUUAUUAGGGAAGAACAAAUGUGUAAGUAACUCUGCACAUCUUGACGGUACCUAAUCAGAAAGCCACGGCUAACUACGUG
rnacentral:rRNA from 1 species